UUUGGUAUAGCGUUUUACUUACAGUAUUUCUACUUUCCUUGUUUGCUUACAAGCUGUUUUUUCUUUUUGACUCUGAUGAAUCCCCCAGGCCAUUUUUAAGAACCCGUUCAGGAGGGGUGACAACCUCCUUGUUAUGUGCGACUGCUACACACCACAAGGUGUUCCAAUCCCCACCAACAAGAGGCACAAUGCUGCCAAGAUCUUCAACACCUCGAAGGUUGCAGCUGAGGAGAGAUGGUAUGGAAUUGAGCAGGAGUACACUCUCCUCCAGAAGGAUGUGAACUGGCCCCUUGGCUGGCCCGUUGGUGGCUACCCUGGUCCUCAGGCAAG